UGGGGAAUUUUGGACAAUGGGCGCAAGCCUGAUCCAGCCAUGCCGCGUGUCUGAAGAAGGCCUUCGGGUUGUAAGGGACUUUUGUCGGGGAAGAAAAGGUCGGGGUUAAUACCCCCGGCUGAUGACGGUACCCGAAGAAUAAGCACCGGCUAACUACGUGCCAGCAGCCGCGGUAAUACGUAGGGUGCGAGCGUUAAUCGGAAUUACUGGGCGUAAAGCGGGCGCAGACGGUUACUUAAGCAGGAUGUGAAAUCCCCGGGCUCAACCCGGGAAUUGCGUUCUGAACUGGGUGGCUAGAGUGUGUCAGAGGGAGGUAGAAUUCCACGUGUAGCAGUGAAAUGCGUAGAGAUGUGGAGGAAUACCGAUGGCGAAGGCAGCCUCCUGGGAUAACACUGACGUUCAUGCCCGAAAGCGUGGGUAGCAAACAGGAUUAGAUACCCUGGUAGUCCACGCCCUAAACGAUGUCGAUUAGCUGUUGGGCAGCCUGACUGCUUGGUAGCGAGGCUAACGCGUGAAAUCGACCGCCUGGGGAGUACGGUCGCAAGAUUA
rnacentral:rRNA from 1 species